rnacentral:lncRNA from 1 species
CUGUCUGCAUAUACGGAGGUGUUUCUUAUGCUACACAGCAAAAUGCACUGACCCGUGGGGUUGAUGUUGUUGUGGGAACUCCAGGUAGACUUAUUGACCUAAUAAACAAUAACACCUUGAAACUGGGGGAGGUGGAAUAUUUGGUCCUCGACGAGGCUGAUCAAAUGCUCGCAGUUGGAUUUGUGGAACUCCAGGUAGACUCAUUGACCUAAUAAACAAUAACACCUUGAAACUGGGGGAGGUGGAAUAUUUGGUCCUCGACGAGGCUGAUCAAAUGCUCGCAGUUGGAUUUGAGGAAGAUGUGGAAACUAUUUUGGAAAAACUUCCAUCACAGAGGCAGAGCAUGCUUUUC